UUAGUACUCCCUCCGUCCGAAAAAACUUACCCCAACCUUGUUCCUCAAAUGGAUGUAUCUAGCACUAACUUGGUGCUAGAUACAUCCAUUGCUAGAUACAUCCAUUUGAGAGACAACUUUUUUCGGACGGAGGGAGUACUAG
rfam:Triticum aestivum genome assembly, contig: Triticum_aestivum_CS42_TGACv1_scaffold_556008_7AL